rnacentral:rRNA from 1 species
AGAGUUUGAUCAUGGCUCAGAGCGAACGCUGGCGGCAGGCUUAACACAUGCAAGUCGAGCGGGCGUAGCAAUACGUCAGCGGCAGACGGGUGAGUAACGCGUGGGAACAUACCUUUUGGUUCGGAACAACCCAGGGAAACUUGGGCUAAUACCGGAUAAGCCCUUACGGGGAAAGCUUUAUCGCCGAAAGAUUGGCCCGCGUCUGAUUAGCUAGUUGGUGAGGUAAUGGCUCACCAAGGCGACGAUCAGUAGCUGGUCUGAGAGGAUGAUCAGCCACAUUGGGACUGAGACACGGCCCAAACUCCUACGGGAGGCAGCAGUGGGGAAUAUUGGACAAUGGGCGCAAGCCUGAUCCAGCCAUGCCGCGUGAGUGAUGAAGGCCCUAGGGUUGUAAAGCUCUUUUGUGCGGGAAGAUAAUGACGGUACCGCAAGAAUAAGCCCCGGCUAACUUCGUGCCAGCAGCCGCGGUAAUACGAAGGGGGCUAGCGUUGCUCGGAAUCACUGGGCGUAAAGGGUGCGUAGGCGGGUCUUUAAGUCAGGGGUGAAAUCCUGGAGCUCAACUCCAGAACUGCCUUUGAUACUGAAGAUCUUGAGUUCGGGAGAGGUGAGUGGAACUGCGAGUGUAGAGGUGAAAUUCGUAGAUAUUCGCAAGAACACCAGUGGCGAAGGCGGCUCACUGGCCCGAUACUGACGCUGAGGCACGAAAGCGUGGGGAGCAAACAGGAUUAGAUACCCUAGUAGUCC